GCCGAUCGGGCACAGUUGGGAGAGCGCACCCUUGGUAAGGGUGAGGUCCCCAGUUCGACUCUGGGUAUCAGCACCA
rnacentral:tRNA from 1 species